rnacentral:lncRNA from 1 species
AAUAUUGUCUCCCAUGUGAAACUAUCCUUAGGGUAUGUGCGCUAGUAAAAAUAAAUAAAUUACGUACGUACAGCAGCGUAGUCGUGGCGAAAGAAACAAAAAGAAAUUGAUAACAAAUCUAUUGAUUAAAGUCAAAAUUAUUUAUUAGUGAUAAUUAUAAUCGCUCUACGGAUUUGUCAUAAGAAAGAACAUUGUCAAGGCAUAAAUCAGUCGCUUUGCUACAUGAUAAACUCCAAUAAGAACAAUUUUUAUUAGUAUUAGUUAAUAACAAUUUUUCUUAUUGGAUCAUAAAUAAAUCGCGUAUUUUUUAUGUAAAAUCCGAAGACAUAAAUAGACGAAAGAAUAACAGGCUAGUCUCUGAUAUACCACCGUAGAAUAAUUUCAAUAGUUUUUUUAAUAUAUUGUCGAAGCAUGAUUUUGAACAGCUUUUUAAGCUAAUCCACGGACAACCCUAAUUUCUGAGAUAUUCGCAUAAAGCUGUUGCUAUCACUACAGUGAAUUCUGUCUACAAUUGUGCGUUCGUAAUAGCGUAUGCAUCGAUUUGGUUACUGACUGUCUUUUUUUUAUACGCUGUACGUGUUUCUUACAAGCGUAAAAUUUGUAAUAGCUUAAAGUUUUUCUCAAUUUAUAAAUAGCUUUUAAAAUACUGUCAUUUUGUCUCAGAAUUUAAUUCGUUAAAGUUUGUGCUCGUUCUAAACCAUUCGGUAGUUAUUAGGUUUGCUUAAUUUAAAAUUUACAAGCACGAGUAAAAUGCUUUAACUCUCUAUGGGCAACAAACCAGUCUGAAAUUCCUCAAAGUAUAUUUCAUAUAUCGAAUAGGUAAUAUGCAGUAAGGUAUAAAAUAAACAUGGAAAUUAAAGUUAAUGUACAAUUGCAAGAACUUUAACUUUUAUCAUUAUGUCUUGAAGGAAGAAGUUACGAUUAAUACAAAUAUAUCAAACGUGAAAGUUACAACUAUGUAUUUAAAAAUACAAGUAUUUAAGAAUAUAUGUGUAUAUAUAUAUACAUAUAUAUAAAUAAAGAAUAAAUUACCACUUCAUCUUCAACUGUAAGGAAGAUUGGAUUAAUAGAAUUAUAUUAAUUGUUCAAAAAGAAAUUAUCUUUAUUGUGGGACAUACUAUCAUUUUUAUAAUUACACAAAGAAGCAAUUUCAACCAUGUGUAUAUAUAACUGCAACUAUUCACAGCCCUGUGAUAAAUACGUAAAAUUAAAAGCAGAAUUCAAAAAGUUCAAUACCACUAACAAAAAUAUAUCUUACACAUAAAUCAAAAUUCAAAAAACUCGAAAAAUCGACAAGGUAUCUAUAUAUGUGGUAUAUUAUUCGCGUAUCAUCAACCACCUGUCGCAUAUUCAUAUGUAUCAACAAUACAUAUACAUGUAUGCAUACGCAUUACGUACGUACAUACGUACGCAUAUAUAUAUGUACAGCAAUGAUACGCGUAUCAUUGGUUAAAAAUUACUGUCAUACUGACUCGUUUAAACGCAAAGGGACGCUCGAUUUGACUCUCGCGGGAAAAGGGCGCCUGCCACUGCUUGACGACAAAGCUGCGGACAAAACCUGCAAGUGACAUCAGCAGUCAAAAUAAAACAAAGAUAUUGUUGAAUAAAAAUUUAUUAUAUCAUCCUCGGAAUAAUCUUAAACGUACGAUGCAAAAUACUCCUAAAACUUAACGAUUAAGGAAAUAAUCUUGUAAAAAAUUUUAUUUGUAAAAACCUGGAACAAAUGCAACUUGAUCUUCAAAAUUUUUAUACGAUGUAUUAAUUAAAAAAUUUCAUUAUAAUCUUGCACGAUCUCUACAUUUAGCAGGAUUGCUCCCCAUGAAAGUGUUACUUUCAUACCUGCUAAUCUCUGUGUAAGUAUAAAAUGUAUCUAUAAUAGGUUCAGCAGCUCUGACAUAAUAGAAAACUAAUGGGUACAACUAACCAAAAUAGCGUAUACUAAAAGAAAAACUAUAGAAGUAUAUUUGAAAAUAUUUAUUGGGUAUUGUAACAAUAAAAAAAGUGUUCAAACAAAAUAUUAAAAAUAACAUCAUCAUCAUCAAUGUAUUUGAUAUAUAUUAAUUACACACUAUCCUUUUGUCAUGUAGUUUGAACUUUAUCCUAUUUGAGGAACGUCUGUCUUAACUGCUUUUCUCUGCUGCUAAUUCUUUACAUUACACGUACCUUAUUAUAUUG